UACGUAGGGGGCAAGCGUUGUCCGGAUUUAUUGGGCGUAAAGAGCGUGUAGGCGGCUAGGUAGGUCCGUUGUGAAAACUCGAGGCUCAACCUCGAGACGCCGGUGGAAACCAUCUAGCUAGAGUCCGGAAGAGGAGAGUGGAAUUCCUGGUGUAGCGGUGAAAUGCGCAGAUAUCAGGAAGAACACCGGUGGCGAAGGCGCUCUGCUAGGCCGCAACUGACACUGAGGGACGAAAGCUAGGGGAGCGAAUGGG
rnacentral:rRNA from 1 species